GGAUGGAGCCGCUCUGGGAAGAGCAGAAGGUUUCAAGUUCCCUCCCUGGCAUCUCCAAGAUAGGGCUGAGAGAGAGUCCUGCCUGCAACCUUGCAGAAGCCACUGCCAGUCUGUGAAGACAUUACUGAGCUAGAUAGACCAAUGGUCUGACUCAGUAUAUGGCAGUUUCCUAUGUCUUUUCUUCUGUCUACGUGGAGGAAGGUCAAGCUGCACAAAGAGAAUGCAGGAUCCUGCAAGGAAACAGCUGACUGUGAUGAGGGCAUAAUCAAGAAAGGCCUGGUCUCCACUUGGCCUAGCAGCCUUCCCUGAGCUGGGCCUGUGCCAAAGUAAAAGUGCCCAGGAGAAGGAGUGGGAAUCGGAAAAGAAUGAAGGCGAAGCAAGCAAUGGAGGAUCCUGAUAGCUGUGUCUCCUGAUCCAUACUACAGUCCUGUAAGUGUUGAAGAACCUCUUGAAUUUGUCUUCCCAGAAGAUGGAGAGGUAAGUCUGACUCCUACCACCUCCAGAGGCCAGACUGUCAGAGAGCUACAUAGGAAAAGACAGCAGUCCACAGAUAUCAAAGGUGUUGAAAAAGGAGCGUACUUCCUCUCUGUUGCUACUGAGCGCAGCACUGAACGCUGCCAAUACGAGAAUGCAGGUUUAGGCUAGGCAGUAGGAAUGCUUUCCCAAAUGGGAGAAGGGUUGCCAAGGUCACCUCAUGGAGUCCUGGGCUCCUCUUUGCUGAUGGUUUUCAGACAGAAGCCAGAUAACGAUGAUCUCCAAGGAGCCUUCCCACUCUAAAAUGCAAAGAUUCUGCUGUGAUCGUCACAUUGAGUCUGCAAGGGAUCUGCAAGUCCCGCCCCCCCGACACCCAGACUGAUUCUAUUUGCCCCCCAAGUUGACUGCAGUUAUGAGGAAGCAGAUUUAAGCUAAGCCUUGAGAAUAAUUUCCCACGGGAGAGAUGUCUGCAGAGGCACACACAACCAUCCCAAGUACAGAUAUAGAUAGUAUAGAGGUACACUCGCACAUAUACUUGUGAACACUUUUUUAAUGUCAAUAAUUGGUAAAGAGGGACCAGUGAUGCAUGGAUUUAUUUUUCUGAUUGAAUCCCUUCCCUUGAUGGGAGUUGCAGCCCAACAACAUCUGGGACCAAGUUUGAGAAUCUCUUGUCUGUUGGCUUCCCAGAGGCAUCCAGUGAGCCCCUAUGGGGAAACAGCAUGCUGGAUUAGAUAGGCCUUGGGUCUGAUCCAGCAGGGCUGUUAGGUUCUUAACAGUCAGGUAUGAUGGGAGUUGUAGUCCAACUUCUAUUUCCAGUCAUUCUCUUCAGCCUGACCUACUUUACAGGACUAUUGUGAGGAUAGAAGAAUUGCAUAUUUGGAGGUCCCGGCAGUAAGGGCAGAUAUAAAUUCCAGAAGCCAAGGGUUCUUAAAAUUGGGUCCCCAGAUGUUUUGGGACUAGAAUUCCCAUCAUCCUCAGCUACAAAGCCUUGCAGGAGUAUUGCAUGUCUUGUUUAUCAAAAGGGAAUCAUGCAUGUUUGGAAUGGAAGGGUCCUUGUAAGAGCCCUGAAAAGUUAGAUUACACAGAAGUUAUAUUAGAAGUUACAAAUAUUUUAAAGUUGAUGCUUAUGCUUUAUUUUAAAAAUAUUUAUAUAUUUCAUAUUGAAAAGACUCUUGGUUAAAACAACGCAGGGUUGUGUACAGCCCAUCGGAUCCCUCUACUACCUCUUGGUUUCUCCCAAGACGUGCUCAAGAGAGAUUUCCAUAGAGAUCUGCUUGCACAGACAUGACACUUUCAUCUUGCUUCUGAAUCCUUGCAAUAGCUGCCACUUGAAGCACUAGAGGGGUGGGGAGGGAUAGCUAUUCACAGCAAUUAGCCAAGAAGCUAGGGAUGACCCACCUGUAGCUCAGCAGCUGCUGUUGGACUAGAAUUAGCAUCAUCCCCAGCUGCUGUGUUGAGACUACAGAUGAUCACCCCCAUCAAAACAGGUGGCUGGGGAUGGUAGAAGUUGUAGUAUGGUGGGAGUUGUAAUCCAACACAGUGAUAACAAAUAUAGUCCCCUGAUGCAAAUCCAUGGUGAAAAGCAUCGUGAAAGAAAGCAUCAGGGUUUGGGCAACAGCUUGUAUAAGGGGGCUGGAUAAAGAAAUCAACAUGAAAAUAGGAAGGUUGAAACUAAGGGCGAAUAAGGGAAGGCCAUUAAAGUAACACAUUGAUCUGAAUUUAAGAUGCUAUUACCCCAAAUGAUUUGAUGUUAAAACUCAGGGUCAUGACGUAAAUUCAGAAUCCUGCUGUUUUAGCAAAGAAGAGCUUCCCUUUCAACAUCUAACAAAGGAUCCCAUCCUGCUUCUGAUGCACUGUUAUCAACGCGAGUGCUGAGGGUUGCCUCGGCCGGGUAAAUAUGCAUUGACACAAUGACAAAUCUCUCCGGUGGCUGAGCGGAAUGGUGGGCCCUAGAGAAGGCAGGAAGAGGCUGAGGAGAGCAACCCCACAACAGAUGCCCAUUCCCUUUUUGACUAGGUUUGCAAAAGCCUGGUGUACACUCAAGGUCAUGAGGCUUUUGCAAAGAGGGGGCAUAGUUUCCCGGGAAACGACUUCACCCCAGGAGUGGAAUCCACACCUUAGUUUACAGAGCUCCCUUCAAACUAGUUACUGAAGUUGCAGCCCAGGUUUGCACCCGUUCCCUCUGUCCCAUCUCUUGAUUCCGAGUCUGGGUCCCCAACCCCCCCUUCCCCUGGCUCCACAUCCAGUGCGGGGUGCAAAUGUCACGUCCAGUCCUGGCAGGGUGCAAGAAACAAGGCUGGACCCCACAGUGAACCAGUCUAGGGCCAAGCGGGGGGGCAGAGGGUGCGCUAGUGAAAGCGAUCCCCGCCCUCUCUUGGCCUUCUGCAGGGACACCUUGGCAUCCACUCACCCCCCUCAGGUGACAGUGUGGGAUUAGCCGGUCGCCAUUUGGGGCCGAGUAGGAAUUUUCCCCAUCCACCCGGAUUGGCCUGGAGGUGGCUGGUUUUUUGCCUACUCUGCACUGUUGCACUGGAAGGGAUUUCUGAUCUGGCGGAUGUUAGGAGUGGUGCCGCUAAAUAGUGUAGCCCCUUGGUCACCAUGGCAGGUCCGAGGAGGGGAUGUAGUGCCCCACCCCAUUGGUGGCAGGUGCGAUUUCCCCCAGCUACACUCUAGUUCUCUGCUAAAAUGAGUCAAUAAAGUGAUGGCCCUAGUUUCAACCCA